rnacentral:rRNA from 1 species
AUUGAACGCUGGCGGCAUGCCUUACACAUGCAAGUCGAACGGUAACAGGGAGCUUGCUCCGCUGACGAGUGGCGAACGGGUGAGUAAAUGUAUCGGAACGUACCAUUCAGUGGGGGGAUAACGUAGCGAAAGUUACGCUAAUACCGCAUAUUCUGUGAGCAGGAAAGCAGGGGAUCGCAAGACCUUGCGCUGAUUGAGCGGCCGAUAUCAGAUUAGCUAGUUGGUGAGGUAAAGGCUCACCAAGGCGACGAUCUGUAGCGGGUCUGAGAGGAUGAUCCGCCACACUGGAACUGAGACACGGUCCAGACUCCUACGGGAGGCAGCAGUGGGGAAUUUUGGACAAUGGGGGCAACCCUGAUCCAGCCAUGCCGCGUGAGCGAAGAAGGCCUUCGGGUCGUAAAGCUACUGUCCUUGGGGAAGAAGGCGAAAGACUUGACGGUACCCAAGAAGAAAGACCCCGGCUAACUACGUGCCAGCAGCCGCGGUAAAGCUACGU